GCAUAGCUCAGCGGUAGAGCGGUUGGCUGUUAACCAAUAGGUCGCUGGUUCGAGCCCAGCUG
rnacentral:tRNA from 1 species